UACUGUCCUUCCAAACCUGGAUCCACCCUAUAUUUCUGCCUCAUCAGAAAUUAAUCCUUUUGCCAUCAUGCUAGCGUUUAGCAAAUUGGCCUCUGCUUUCUUUAAAUAUGGCAUUUGAUCUUCAUUUAAGAGUGCAAAGUUGUUAUCCCUCCCCCAUCACAUAUAAACACAUCAAAAGUGCACUCCAUCUUCAACUUUGCAUUAUACAGACCUUUUCUUUUACAUUAUAGCUCAAGACCUACAUUCUACUUGAAGCCUUUCCUUAUCUCCUUAAGUGCUGUUUUCUGCCCUCCCAAACUACCUUGCAUUUAACUACCUUCUACUUAUUUUUAAGCCUUCUGUAUAUAUUAAUUAAAUUAAGAUAUAAUUAUAUAGGUAAUAGUGCCUUCUUUAUUGAAUGAAAAUCCCUUAAGAAUUGCACUUGUUUUCAUUUGCAUUUUUCUGUUCCCAGAACCUAGAAUGGUGUCUGGUACACAGUCAGUAUAUAAUAAAUGCUUUCUGGUUGAUUGAUUGAUUGGUUGGUAAAAUGGUAUGUCUUUUCCUCUAGGAGAACAUUAGGUGGCAAACAGGACUUCAUGGUUUCCUUGGAAGUUGAAUAAAUACCACACCCUCAGCAGGCUCCUGGAUAUAGUUUUUGAAAGCUGCAGAUGCAGAAACAAGAGGUGAAAUGGUGACAAGUAAUGAAUAGCAAUGAGCUUCAGCUGCAAAUGUAUUAUUGUGCUUCUGACAUCAUGAGGUGGUUUGGGUGCCAAUUAUUUGUCUCUUUGGAGCAUUGCCCUCUAAUUCGAUCUUGCUUAUUGGGUUUUGUGAUGAAAGGCUUUUAUUGAUCAUCUCUGGGCACUACAAAGAUCCAAUAGGAGAAGAGCCAAGGAAGCCUCUGUCUUCGGAGCACUGGAUCUAUUCUUGUCCUGGUCCCAACUCAUGUGGAGUCUUGGUCAUUCUACUUUCAGGGAUCCUUUCAUCAAUGGCGAGUUUUUGCAAGUGGUUGCUGUUUCCUGUAACUGUAUUGUGUGGUGAUGAAAAGCUUUUUGGCUGCUAAGCAGGAACCAAGUGUAAAUACAAAGGGCUUCAAGGCAGGGACUUUAUCAUUCUCCCUGGCAGCUUGAGGGUGAAGAGUAUAGGUCUUGGAGGGAGGGAGAGGCAGUGGAAACAGCAGCUUCAUGCCCUGGUGAGGGUAUCUUAUUUCCCUACUUGGAAGCUGUAUGUUUGUGAAAGCGUAGUAUGUUUUUUUUUCUUUUCCCCUUGUUUAUUCUGUUCUUUUCUGAUCCUAGGAGAAUGGGCAUCCAAUACCAGGUAGCAAGCCUGUGAGCUUCAGAAGGUGAGGAAAGCCACCAAAAUUCCAGCACCUGGAGUCCAUAGCAAAGCUUACUACAGAAGCUAUCAUCAAUGAGGAAUCAGUCAUGCAGAAGGAUCUGCUGGAAAUAAACCAGGGGCAGAUCAAUGCA
rnacentral:lncRNA from 1 species